rnacentral:lncRNA from 1 species
GGGUUAAUUAAAAAAAAUUAAAAAAAAGGCAAAAUUGCGCGUUUGAUGUCCGAGCUAUAAGGCAUGUGACAAUUUAAUUCUCAAACUUUAAUUUAUUAUAAUUUUUUAACUCAAACUUUUAGAAUUAUUGCAAUCGAGUAUUACAAUCUAAUUUAAUUAAUUAAAUAUAGAUGAAUCGAUGAUAUUAGAGUGAUGUAACAUUCUAAUUAUUAGCGCAAUAUCAAUCACAAUACUGUUAUAUCAUUUCUACAUUGAUGAUUAAUUAAUAAUUAAGCAACUAAAUUGGGUUAUGAGAUUUAAUAACAAUAAUUCAAAAAGUUUGAGUCUUACAACGAAUUAAAAUUUUAAGUAUUGAAAUAUUACAUGUAUCAUAGUUUGAGAACUAAAUGUAAAAUUUAUCGGAAAAAAAGAAAAAAUGCUGAUUCCACAAGCGCUUAUGAAAGA